GAGAAGGAGGAGGAGGAGGCGCGCCUUCCCCUUCCCCUGCCCUUCCCCGUCAGACCCCGUCCGUUCACCCGAGCCGGUUCCCUCCGGGUCCGUGCCCGUUAAGCCAAAUCACAAGCGUGUACCUUGCGUGAGGGCAGACCGCGGGCCCUGGAGUGGAUCUGGAAUUUGAUCUCUGCUCCCUGUAAUCUCCUGUAACUGAAAAUUUAGUUUUUCCGGCUGCUAACUGCUUUCUCUUUUGCAUUCCCAUUCUCCUCCAGCUAGCUCCUCUCUGCGCUGCGGGUAGUUGCUUUGGUCACCUCACGUCAGUUUGCAUCCUACUGUGACAGGAGUAAAUGCUUUUCUGAAAAGAUUCUUAGCAGUAACGGAGUUUUACUUGAAGGAAAUCAGGAGUUUAAACUGCAAUCAGUGGAGUUUUAUACGGAAAUAAUAAGUGAUGGUGGAAGACUAUUCCCUUGGUAUGAUUCCAGACUCUCUUUGGAGAUCGCCCUACAGUAUUGUUAUACUGCAUUUUAGCAUGCUGUGCCUUGGAUCCAGCAAAAGUGAUAGGACUAGGCAUAAUGCAGAUUUUUUGUAGAUAACUAUUGAGCGGGUCAAAACAAGAACCCUUUUAACUAAAAAUGAUCCUCCUUUUCCUGAACCUUGAAGCUCAGAUAAAAAGAGAUCAAAAUCCAAAUCAUGCCUGCUUUAAAUUCUGUAAAGCCAAGAUCACACCAGGCUGCCUACCUCUAAUUAUAAUGGUUUAUUCAUUAUCUUUGGUCUUUCCCCAACUCUCAACUUCUCCGAUUUCUUUCUGUCUUGAAGAGAAUAAGUUUUCUCUGGGAUUGUCUGGUUCUUCUGUAAUAGGAUAUUGUCUUCAUGUUAUAGUCCAUUCUGAUCAGGUGGAUCUAAAUUUUGUAUCACACACAGAUUUCAGACAAAAGAAUGUAGUAAUAAAGAGCUCAAGCAUAUACUGCUAUCCAUCAGAUCUUCUAAUACAUCAGAAAUUUAUUUCUGAAGGAAUCAUUUUAAAGCAACAAAAAGUUUGUGGUCAUUUUAAGUUUCUAUUAAAAACACCAUUUUAUCCUAAUUUGUUGUGUGAUUAAGUUAAGAGAGAUUUAUGAAUCUAAGUCAUUAAACUUUCAAAACUGAGAUUUCUACAGUUGAACUUGUUUAGACAUCUUAAAUUAGUAGCUGAUGCAACCAAGAUUUACAGUUGUGCUAAUAUAAGAUGGGAAGAGGGUGGCUGGUCUUGUGGUUAAAGCAUGGGACUAGCUGCUGAGAGGUCUAUGUUCUAUUCCUGGUUGUGUCACUGACUUCCUGUGGGUCACUGGCUAAGUCACUUAGCUGUGGCUCAUUUUGCUCAUAUAUAAAAUGUGAAUAAUACUUUUAUUACUAAAGUAAGUCAUUAGUAUUUAUACAAUUGUUUGUUCUCAUUAAUGGACUUGGUAUAUAACUGUUUCAGCAGAUCAAACCCCGUAUUUCUAAUGUUCAUGUAGUUUGCUACGUCUUCUCACACAGCAGUUCAUUGAUUCCAAUAAAGACAACUGAAAACUCCUAAGUCCAAAAUGUAACUUAAAGCAUCUAGAGAACAUUGCUUCCAGGUUCAAACUGAACAUUUGUUCAGGAAGAGAAUUUAAUAAUCUCUUUAAGAGUGUGAGAAAGUUAGUUUUUGUGAUAUUUACUCCCUCAUAAUUGUUAAAAAAGAAUUAACUCUCCCCCUCCUAUUGUUUCUUUUGGAGGAUUGUGUGAAGAUCGCUUGGCACUUCCAUUUCCUAUGACCUUUGUCCUGUUUUAUAGUUUUUAUACAUUGUUGUGAUGGAAUUAAUUUGAAAUACUAUUUUUAAAAUCCCUGCUUUUUACAUAUUUUACCCCAGUCUCCAGGGUGCUCCAGAUAGAUGUCAGAAAUACUGUCGCUCAACUAAAUGAGGAUUCUGUAGAAAAACAGUAUACACUGCAACUGCCAAAUCCCAGUGAAAGUCAUUGAAUCAAGAGCAUCUCCCAGUAUACUGUCCAGACUUAAGGAUUAGUUUCUCAACAUUUCAGUCACUGUGGGAUAGAUCUCACAGUGAUGUUACCACAACUUUGAUUUCCAUUAUUGAGAGAAACGCUAGAGGAUUUUAAAUUGAGGAGAAUUGAGAUGAUCUGUCUUUUUCAAAUGGCUGGUAGAUCAGGUUUAUAUACUUGCAUACUUACAAACAUAGGGCAGAUGUACAUCAUAAAGUCUAAAAAAGAAUUAGAUGUUCAGACAAUUAUAGAGAGUUAAUUAUCUUAAAUUAAAUAUCUUCAUUAGUCUUUGCAGUAAUAGGUUGCAUAUCUUCCAAUAACAAAACCAAAGGCUAAAAAGCAGGGUUAUUUUGUCCUUUUAGUUAAUAUAUAUUAAUAUAGUGUUAAGCAUCCUAAAAUUAUACAACUUUAUUAAUGUUAUUUCUGAAAGAAUCACCAGAAGGAGUAGCAAACCAAAAAAAUGUAAUCACACUUUUCUUGCAUCUCACAAAAUGUAUUGCAAGGGCUUUUUUCUUAUUUCAUGAAAGUUGUGACCACCUUGGUAUACUCCAACAAAAUAAGCUCACACACAACUCUGACUGCUAACUUUUACACAUGGAUUCACAAUCAGUGUGAGACUCCUGACAGUAGCAUAGUGAAGAAAUACAUAAAUAUUUAUAGUACUAGGGCAUAAUAUUUUUCUAACGUUAUUUUGUGUAAAUGUGUACAAAUGGUAAACUCAAAGGCCUCAGAUGACAGUUAGUUUCUACUACAUAAAUGGUAUCUGCUUGCUCUCUGAUUAAAUCACGAAUCAACCCAAAAAUGUGCUGCCAGCAUUCAUGAAAUUUUGCUAGGUAGAGAAGCAGUACCUUUAAUUCUUAUUGAUCUUUGAAAUAGCUAUUGUAUUAAGGUCAUUGAUGUUUCACUCAUGCAAAUUGUUCCAUUGGUUUGUCAGCAGCUUUUCUGAAUUGACUCCUAUUAGGCUUUUUAAUAAAUCAUUAUUUUCAUUUAAGAUCUUAAGAAUCUUUAAAAAAUAAAAUUAAUAAUUGGUUUUUAGUCUGUGCUAACCGUUAGAGAAUGCCAGGUAACUUUAGCAGUGAAUCAGGGGCUAUUUUGGGAGAAAAAUAUUAUAAUAAUUUGCAGGAAAUAACCUUUUUGUUCCAAAACAGCUGUCAUUGAACACUAUUAUAUCUACAACAAUUAAAAUUAUCUUUGGUAACUUUUAGUGUUUGGCAUUGCUCCAUUAUUGUUCAGUUAAAUAUUUUUCAAGUAUGUUAGGACUUCUGCCCACUGUGUUCUUGAAACCCUUCAUUAUCAAUACAGAAGUUCUUUCUCAGUUUUGUCAUAUUGUAAUCUCUCUCAUGGAAUGACAUUCUGUAUCAUCUGUGAAGAUUAUUUGUCAUUUUAUAGAAGGCUACAGGCCUUUUACUGAGGACUGAUGACUUGACGUUUGUAGGAUAGAAUUUGCUUUUUAAUAUUAAGUGUUGAAUGCCAAAAAAUAAUAAUAAUAGUAAAAAAGAAUGUACUAGUUAACAUGUAAUGUGAGUUAGGAAACAUGUGCAAACAUCCUGGUGAAUUUAAAUAGCUGGUUGGAUCAGAAAUGGAGGAAAAAUAACAUUGGGUCAGGAACAAAACACAAAGCAGCCAGAAACCUUGUAUUUCUAAUUUAGGAUAUAAAUACUCACUGCUAAAAAUUCUUUGUUACAAAAUUUAAUUGAUUAAAAAAGGGAAUGUUUUAGGGAGUGUUGUUGGUUGGUGGCUUUAAUAUGUGUCAAAUACUAAUUAAAACUAUUUCCACACUACUGGAACUUGUCAUUCACUACAACUGAAGUUGGUUGAUAUAUAACCUUUCCUGUGACUUGUUUUUCAGAAUGAAAUUUUUAUUAUUUAUAUUGUAAUGAUCUUUGAGUACUCAGUAUUAGCAGAGCAAAAGUAAAAUAGUAUGCUGUUUAAAGAGUCCAUCAUAUAUAUGUAACAAAUGGUAAUAUGUUACUGAUAGCACGUUGACACGUACGGUAUGCUUACUUGUAUUUGCAUCAGUAUAAAUUAAUAUACAAGUGUCUCUUCAAUGUGACAUGUAUGUAUCAGAUGCCAUUAAAGUACUUUCUUUAUGCAA